AUUUUUUUUUUAUACAUUAGGAAAAAAUUUCCUCAUUUUACGGGUUUAGCUAGCGGCGUUGGCACUGGCACGCACACAGUCGAUACCACCCACCGGCACCGUGUUCGUUCUUUCGCUGCCCCGUCUAACUUCUUUUAACUUCAUCCUUCACUCCACCCAAAACGCACCGUUGCACAGUCCCCCUCCCCCGAAUCGCAUCUUCCCCAACACACACACACACACAAACCCUAAUUUCUCAAAAUGUGGUCUGCAACAUCCUCCCCUUCCAUCUUCCUCCCCCAUUCCCUUCUUCGCCCCCUUCCUCGCCGGCGGCCCCUCUGCGCCUCCCUCUCUUGGGCCUCCCCCGACCCAUCCGACGGCCUCGGAGGCUGGGCCCUCCUCGACGCCCCGGCCCAACCCGACAACAACAAAGUUGCGGCAUUUCCUUCUUAUGCCGUUGUUGGCUUCGGCACUUCGCUCGCUCUUGUGCUCGCUGUCUUUGCUGCCUCAAGGAAAGGUUUUAGUUUUCGAUUCCCGAGGCCGAUGUGGGGUGCUGUGGAGACUCGGCGAGAUCAAAACGACGCUCCGGAGUUUGACGUUUCGAGUGGGAGCAAGUCAACGCUGUCCGAGGCCGACCCGGAGAGCAAUGUUACCGUUACGCAAGCUGAUAAAUCUGUAGCUGUAGAAAAGCCUGAACGUGUUGUCAUCCCAGUUUCUGUGGAUUCUACCCAAGAAGAAGCACUGUCAGUCUUAAAAUCACUGAAGAUAAUUGAAGAUGAUGUGGAAGCUAAUGAAUUGUGUACCAGAAGAGAAUUUGCUAGAUGGCUAGUUAAAUCAAAUUCUUCCUUGGAAAGGAGUCCUAAACACAUGAUUGCUCCAAUAGUAUCACUUUCUGGAUCUGUAGUUACUGCAUUUGAUGAUGUCGGUAUUGACGACCCGGACUUUAGAUCAAUUCAAGUCUUAGCAGAAGCCGGUGUGAUCCCCAGCAAAUUAUCUUGGAAUAAUAGUUUCAAUUAUGGUGGAUCUGACUCUCAAGAAAACAUAAAUUUUUAUCCUGAUAGAUUCAUCUCACGACAAGAUCUAAUAGACUGGAGAGCUCAGUUGGAGUAUGACUUUUUCUCUGGGGUAGUUGACGAGAUAUCAAUUAAAAAAGCAGGUUAUAUGGAUGUGAAGGAGAUCACUUCUCCAGCAGUUUAUGUGGACAUGCUGGCAGGGGAUACGAGUAUUCUUAGAAAAGUUUUUGGACAGAGCAAGCGAUUUCAGCCAAACAAACCUUCAACAAAAGCACAAGCAGCGGUGGCUCUGACAAGUGGCAGGAUGAAGGAAGCAAUAUCAGCUGAAUUGUCAAGAAUAGAAGCUGAGAAUUCUGCCAGGCUGGCUGAGGCAGGAGAGAUCUGGUCUGAGUUGCUUAGCCGAGGAGAGAUACAGAGAUUUUGGGAUGAAAAGCUUAUUGAAGAGAAAAAUCGUGGUUUUGAUGUUGAGAGGCUUUAUCACGUGGAAGUAAAGAAUUUGGAAGAAGAGGAGAUCAAUCAAGAUAAGAUAUCUGCUGAGUAUUUAAAAGAAAAGGCAACAAUGGAUUGUCAGAAGCAGCUUCUGCUUAACUUAAAGAAAGAAGUUGAUGAGAUAUCAGAAAAAGUCGCAUCAGAGAGAGUCACAUAUGUAGACGAAAGGGAUGUUGUACAAAAGUUGCAUGAAGAUUUAGAAUUCAAGCAUGAAGAAUUGCUCAACACCAAAUCCACGCUGGAAGCUGAAAAAGAAGCUCUUCAGAUUCUUAGGAACUUGUCUGAAAGCUAGUUACACGUGAUUUUAUUUUUUACUACACUAGCCACAGACAAACAUUGACUCACUUAAGUUAGCUACAUGGGUCAAUUGAUGCCAUGAGGUUCUUUCAAGAGCUGAAAUUUCAGUGAAGCCAUUUAACCCAAGAUCUUGGGUAGAGGAUGAGGCAAGGAGAAGCCAAGCUCGGGCAGCUGUCCUUGAAGAGGUAGGGCGAAGAUGGAAAUGGGAUGACCAAGCUUGAAUUGGGACACGCCCUAUAAAAUGUAAAUUAACAUAUCUACAUAUUUACUAUAGCAUAAAUCCUUGAGGCUACUAUGCUCUAUUUGGUAUUAUGGCCUUUGGUAUUAAGGGUGAUGAUGAACCUCAUCCUUCGUUGGUAUAUACGGUUAUACACAUUCAAAAAGGAAAAAUACUGAUGUGAGUGGGUUUAAUUUCUGUGGUCCAAAAAAAUUUUCCUUCCCUCUCGUGAGUUAGAUUGGGGAGGAGGGAAUGCAGCCAGUCUUGUCUUAUCUAUUCAAAGUUCUGUGGGUCCUGUUUUGCUAUUUUUAUGCUUUGGAAGCUUUAGGAAAUUCUCUUUCAACUCUAAUGUCAUUUGUCAUAUACUAGCUUUUAUCACCAGUGACAGGUCUUGCAUAUGAUAGGAAGUGGAAUAAUUCCAAAAGGCUGGACAUCUAAUUAGGAGAGAUCGAUUUUUGUUCUCCAAUGAAAGCCUAUAUUUGAGAAUUCUUUCAUUUCAGUUUUUGUUGUUGUACUUAUGGUUGAACUGAUGAUUAAGAUGAACCUUAAUCUGUUCUAUGGUUUCCUUGAACUUUGAAAUACUCUGACUGGAUAGAAAUUAGAUUUAUAUUUGGAUAAUUUCUAUCAAAUUGAUUGUGCUUGGUUUUA